rnacentral:lncRNA from 1 species
CGUAUGGGAGUUGAGUGCAUUUGCAAGAAGCCCGCAAAGGUAGUUACUUCAAGAACCGCUAAAAAUCCGGGACGACUCUUUUAUUGUUGUCGAUUUCGCGAGGUAAUUGUCAGUAUAUUAAGACUUCGAACUCUUUGAGAAUUAUUUGGUGUUGAUUGUUUUUUUUUAAUUUUUUUCUUUUCUGGAAUUCGAUGGCAGUGUGAUUUCUUUCAAUGGGUUGAUGAAGGUUGUGGGUAUAUGGAGAAUUGCCCACAAGAGCUGAAGUUUUGGAUUGGAGAGAGUUUAAGACUGCGUACACAUGUUGACCAACUUUCACAGAGGAUUACAGAUUUGGAGGCAACGAAUGCUAAUUUGAAGGUGAAGAAAUCAAAGUUUCAGAGACAAGCAGCUUUGAUGCGCCUUGGAUGCAUUUUGUUGGCCGUUUGGCUCAUCUAUGUUCUUCUUUAAAU